ACAUCAAUGGUGAAGCGGUUAUCAUGCUUGCCUUCUAUGCCGAGAAGGGUCACGUGAUGCAUCUCGUGAUGCGUAGCAAGCGGCAGGGGUUCGACUCCCCUUUGAUGUA